rnacentral:rRNA from 1 species
AUUAUUUGACGUUAGCGACAGAAGAAGCACCGGCUAACUCCGUGCCAGCAGCCGCGGUAAUACGGAGGGUGCGAGCGUUAAUCGGAAUUACUGGGCGUAAAGCGCAUGCAGGUGGUUUGUUAAGUCAGAUGUGAAAGCCCGGGGCUCAACCUCGGAAUAGCAUUUGAAACUGGCAGACUAGAGUACUGUAGAGGGGGGUAGAAUUUCAGGUGUAGCGGUGAAAUGCGUAGAGAUCUGAAGGAAUACCGGUGGCGAAGGCGGCCCCCUGGACAGAUACUGACACUCAGAUGCGAAAGCGUGGGGAGCAAACAGGAUUAGAUACCCUGGUAGUCCACGCCGUAAACGAUGUCUACUUGGAGGUUGUGGCCUUGAGCCGUGGCUUUCGGAGCUAACGCGUUAAGUAGACCGCCUGGGGAGUACGGUCGCAAGAUUAAAACUCAAAUGAAUUGACGGGGGCCCGCACAAGCGGUGGAGCAUGUGGUUUAAUUCGAUGCAACGCGAAGAACCUUACCUACUCUUGACAUCCAGAGAACUUUCCAGAGAUGGAUUGGUGCCUUCGGGAACUCUGAGACAGGUGCUGCAUGGCUGUCGUCAGCUCGUGUUGUGAAAUGUUGGGUUAAGUCCCGCAACGAGCGCAACCCUUAUCCUUGUUUGCCAGCGAGUAAUGUCGGGAACUCCAGGGAGACUGCCGGUGAUAAACCGGAGGAAGGUGGGGACGACGUCAAGUCAUCAUGGCCCUUACGAGUAGGGCUACACACGUGCUACAAUGGCGCAUACAGAGGGCAGCAAGCUAGCGAUAGUGAGCGAAUCCCAAAAAGUGCGUCGUAGUCCGGAUUGGAGUCUGCAACUCGACUCCAUGAAGUCGGAAUCGCUAGUAAUCGUGGAUCAGAAUGCCACGGUGAAUACGUUCCCGGGCCUUGUACACACCGCCCGUCACACCAUGGGAGUGGGCUGCAAAAGAAGUAGGUAGUUUAACCUUCGGGAGGAC